rnacentral:rRNA from 1 species
UACGGAGGGUGCAAGCGUUAAUCGGAAUUACUGGGCGUAAAGCGUGCGCAGGCGGUUUGUUAAGUCUGUUGUGAAAUCCCCGAGCUCAACUUGGGAAUUGCAAUGGAUACUGGCAGGCUGGAGUAUGGUAGAGGAAGGUGGAAUUCCCGGUGUAGCAGUGAAAUGCGUAGAGAUCGGGAAGAACAUCGGUGGCGAAAGCGCUCUACUGGACGGUAUCCGACACUGAGGGACGAAAGCUAGGGGAGCGAAUGGG